UCAGAGGAGUCACAGACUUACGUUGUUGAAACAUGACAUGGCCCUAGAUUACAUUUUGGCCAAACAAGGAGGCCUGUGCGUUGCACUAAACCUGACUGGAGAAGCCUGUUCUACGUUGAUACCUGAUAGCUCUGACAACAUAACAAGUGUUGUAGAUGCACUGAAACUCAUUAGAGAUGCAUUUGGUCCAUCAUCAGGAGUUGACCAAUCAGCCAACGCGUGGUUGCAGGAACAAUUCGGCCCCAUGGGAGCUGUGGUGGUGCAAAUCCUGGCAGCAGUUAUUUUAUUGUUAUGUGUUAUGUUUUGCUUCUGUAUGAUAUUAUUAACCUUUGCUAAAGCUAUGAUUCUUAGAUGGGUUGGAGUGGUAUUGCCAGGAGAUAAUGUACAAAUUCCACUACUACACAGUAAUGACCAAGACAAAGAAGAAGUGGGGCUGGAAGAAAUGUUCAUUGAACAAUAUCCUUUUUGAUUAUUUACUUUCUCUGAUGUAUUCUUAGACUAUCAUCUACUUUUAGUCUUAAAUGGGGGUGUGAUGUAUUUUAUUUGGUUUAGUUUUUAGUAGUAUAUUUUAAAUUUUGAUAAUGUAAAAGGGGAGUAUUACUUAGGGGGGAACAGAAUAAACAUGUCAAACAAACAAAAAAUUAUGUUUUUUGCAAGAUACUGCUUGAUUUUUUCAUUCUCAGAAUAGCAGUUGGAGAGACCAGCCACUCCCAGGACAGCAGGUGAGGAGACCAGCUCAAGAAAGGUGGUUCUCCGGUGAUUUAAACAGCUUUAACGGACCCACACAUCCCUACAAGGACAAGCAAGCAUGGACAAUGAAAACAGAAACUGAAACCGGACAGAAAAUGGGAACAAGGACAUUGCAUUGGAUAUCCAAACAUAGGAAACCCAUGGAAAGAACACUAUACAAGCAACCAAGGACGUUCAGGAGCAACAAUUAUUAUUCAUUUAUCUAAGAGUGGAGUUUUGUUAGUGUGUAGUCUGUGAUAUGACUGUCAAUUAAUCUCUCUGUGUUGUAUUUAAUGUACAUGUCAAUACCAGACAGUAUAGGAAGAAUGAAAAGUAUGGAAGGGUGGUUAGUGAUUCAUAGUUCAUUUUUAAACUUUUAUUUUUUGAGAUUCCCAAGAAUAUUUGCUUCACAUUGUGUUUUCACAUAAAGUCUAACCCCUAUUUUUCAAUCGGCUUGGAGUACAAUAGGUGGUCGCCUAGGGCAGAGGGACCGAGAGUGACUUUUUCCUGUCUAGAUUGUUUGAUGGAUAACAAUGGAAAGAUAGCUGACUGACAGGUUUUCGCUCUCACACUCCAAAAAUUUAGUAGUAAAUUGAAAAUGUGAAAAUGUGUUUCCUUUUUUUGAGACUCUAUGGAGUCUCAAAAGGGGGAGAUAUCAAUCAAUCAAUCAAUCAAAUUUUAUUUAUAUAGCGCCAAUUCACAACAGUCGUCAUCUCAAGACGCUUUCCAAAGAACAAGAGCAGGUCGAGACCACGCUCAUUGUUUGAUGAUCAAGAACCAACCUAAGAUGGGUUUUGGCCCAUCUCAACUAACAUGAGUAGCAGUGGCAAGGAAAAACUUCCUUUUAACAGGCAGAAACCUUGGGCAGGACCAGACUCAUGCUAGACAGCCACCAUGCCGCUGCUGGGUUGGGGGGGAAUGUAGAGAGAAGAGGGGAGAGGGGGAGAGGACAGGGGGAGGGAGAGAGACAGGAAGAUAGGGGAAAGGCGAGAGAGAAUUAGUACGGAGAGGGAGGGGGAGGGAGAGAGAGUAGGGAACGAGGGUGAGAGAGAGACAGGAGGCAGCAGGAACAACAGCAACAACGACAACAGCUCAUGUAAUGGUGAAACAAAAAGACGUUCAGUUUACAGGUUUAGGAUAUGAGAAAUAAUGGACAAUGUUGAAUUAAUUGAGUGUGAUUACAGUUAGCAGGCUUAAUCGUAGUCAGUUCUAUUUUGUAUGUCAAUAAUGACAGUGAGGCUGAUGUUCAUGUCUGCAGUAACAGUAACAGUCCAGAGGAAUCAGAGAGAAGAAGGAGCUCAGGGCCGGGGGGGGGUCUCUGCAGCAACGGUCCAGAGAAGCCAAAGAGCCAAAGAGAUGGAGGAGCUCAGGGCCCAGGAUGGAUGCAGCUGGGGUCAGGCAGUUCCGCAGCAGACCGUUUGCAGCAUUAGUCCAGUGGCAGCUAAAAGACUCAGAGACACUCAGAGAGACAGAAAACUGGUCAGUGACUUAUAUGGGACAUAAAGAUCUAAAGAGGAGAUAGAGACAGAUUCUAGCUCAGUGUGCCAGAUAGCCCCGGCAGUCUAGGCCUAUAGCAGCAUAACUAAGAGCUGGUUCAAAUCAGCCCUGACUAUAGGCUUUAUCAAAGAGGAACGUUUUAAGUCUACUCUUGAAAGUUGAGAGUGUGUCUGCCCCCCGAACCUCGAGCGGUAAAUGAUUCCAGAGGAGAGGUGCCUGGUAGCUGAAAGCUCUUCCUCCAACACUACUUUUAGAGACAUUUGGUACAACGAGCAGACCUGCAGACUGUGAGCGUAACGGUCUAGAUGGAAAGUACGGUAUAACUAGCUCGUCGAGAUAUGAUGGCGCCUGGCCAUUAAGCGCUUUAUAUGUCACAAGGAGGAUUUUAAACUCAAUUCUAUAUUUAAUAGGGAGCCAGUGAAGAGAGGCUAAAACAGGGGAGAUGUGCUCCCUUCUACUAGUUCUAGUCAAUACCCGAGCUGCUGCAUUUUGGACCAGCUGAAGAGUCCUUAAUGACUUACUAGAGCAGCCUGAUAGGAGAGAAUUACAGUAAUCCAGCCUAGAGGUAACAAAGGCAUGGACUAGUUUUUCUGCAUCGCUCUGAGACAAUAUGCGUCUAAUUUUUGAGAUAUUGCGCAGGUGGAAAAAGGCUGUCCUAGAAAUUUGUUGAAUGUGGGAGCUAAAAGAUAAAUCCUGAUCAAAUACAACUCCUAGAUUACGCACAGUGGGGUUGGAUGCCAGGCUGAUACCAUCAAAUGUAGCUAAAUUACUAGAGAACGCCUCUCUAAGGUGUUUAGGACCGAGGACCAGAACUUCAGUUUUGUCUGAAUUGAGCAUUAGAAAGUUAUUGGUCAUCCAGGAUUUUAUAUCUUUGAGGCAGGCUUCUAACCUAGCAACCUGGCCUGCUUCCUCUGGCUUUAUGGAUAGGUAUAGCUGGGUGUCAUCUGCAUAACAGUGGAAAUUAAUCGAAUACUUCCUCAUAAUUUUACCCAGCGGAAUCAUAUACAGGGUGAAGAGGAUUGGACCGAGCACUGACCCUUGCGGCACACCGUAGCACACUUUGGUGUGUGCAGAGGAUUUAUUAUUUACAUUGACAAACUGGGAUCGAUCUGUUAGGUACGAUUUAAACCAGGAGAGAGCUGAUCCUGCUAUGCCUAUAGAUUGUUCUAGUCUCUGAAGCAGGAUGGAGUGGUCAAUUGUGUCAAAUGCUGCACUAAGAUCUAACAGGACUAGAACAGAGAGAAAACCAUUGUCUGAGGCCAUGAGUAGGUCAUUUGACACCUUUAGCAGAGCAGUCUCUGUGCUGUGAUGGGUUCUAAACCCAGACUGGAAAUCCUCUAAUAAACCAUUGUUAUGGAGAAAAUCACAGAGUUGAUUCGCAACAACUUUCUCUAGGAUUUUAGAAAUAAAAGGAAGGUUGGAUAUUGGUCUAUAGUUAGCUAGGGAGCUUGAGUCUAGAGUAGGUUUUUUAAGGAGAGGCUUAAUCAAUGCAGUCUUGAAAGACUGGGGAACAUAUCCUGUUAAUAAAGACGUGUUAAUCAUUUUGAGCAGGGACGUACUAAUCAAAGGAAGAGUUUCCUUCAGCAAUUUAGAUGGAAUUGGGUCUAAGAGACACGUCGAUGGUUUGGCUGCUAGCACCACUGAUUUUAACUCAGGAAGGUCAAUAGGUACAAAAUUACUAAGGUGCACCAGAGGCCUUAGGGGCUCCUCAGCAUUUUUAGGGUUAUCUGAGAGAGAGACACUUGGUGGAGUCAAUAGGUUACUAAUUUUACCUCUUAUUUUUAAGAUUUUAUCAUUGAAGAAGCUCAGGAAGUCAUUGCUGCUAAGGGCUAAUGGGAUACAUGGUUCAGUGGUGCUCGGACAGUCUGUCAGCCUGGCUACAGUGCUGAAGAGAUAUCUGGGGUUAUUCUUAUUUUCCUCAAUAAGAGACGAGUAGUAGGUUGUCCGAGCACGUCGUAGGGCUUUCUUAUAUUUAUCGAGACAUUCCUGCCAGAGAAAACGAGCUUCAGCUGUUUUGGAGGAGCGCCAAAUCCUUUCACAUUUUCUUAAUAACUGUUUCAGCUCACGGGUUUCAGCAUUAUACCACGGGGCUAGCCUCUCGCGUGUAAUAGUUUUCUGUCGAAGAGGGGCAACUGAGUCUAGAACUGAUCGCAGUGUGCCUGAGGUAUCAUCAACAAACUGGUCGAGUUGCAAGGGACUGAUGUUUAAAUAUGAGCUAUCAGUAAAGUUUUUCUCAACUACAGAAUUUAGAGCAGACGGAAUUACCUCCUUGAACUUAGUAACAGCAUUUUCAGACAACCUUCUAGUUAGCACGACUUUGUUGUGAGGAAAGUAACCUGAGAGCACAAAUUCAAAAGUUACUAGACAGUGAUCAGAUAAUAGAGGAUUUAAUGAGCUGACUAACAGGGCAUCAGUUUCGAGGCCAUAAGUCAGGACGAGAUCGAGAGUGUGGUUAAAGCAGUGCGUAGGUCUAUGUACACACUGUGUAAACCCAAUUGAAUCUAGCAAGGACCGAAAAGAAAUGCUUAGGCUAUCAUUUUCCACAUCUAUGUGAAUAUUAAAGUCACCGACGACGAUGACUUUAUCUGCGAGAAGGACUAAUUCGGAUAGGAACUCUGAGAACUCUGACAAAAACUCAGAGUAUGGGCUCGGAGGGCGGUAAACUAUAGCAAAUACCAGUGGUCUCAUGGACUUUGAGGCUGGGUGCGGGAGACUGAGAACGAGACUUUCAAAAGAGUUAUAAUCUAGUUUUGGUCUUGGGUUAAUUCUAAGAUUGGAAUUGUAGAUAGCUGCAACUCCACCACCUCGGCCGGAGUCUCGAGGAAUGUGAAAGUUUAGGUGGCUAGGAGGAGUGGAUUCAUUUAAACUUACAUAUUCAUCCUUACGCAGCCAUGUUUCGGUUAGGGAGAGUAAAUCAAUGCGAUGAUCAGAGAUUAGUUCAUUUAUUAACACAGAUUUUGAAUUUAGAGACCUUAUAUUCAGUAGGCCACAUUUUAUCUUACUAGUACUUGGUUCAGCUAUGUUAACAGUCUUAAUUCUAGUAAGGUUCUUGUUAUUUACUCCUUUUUUAAUUGAUCGGUUAGAAUUUGAGAGCCGAGUACGAGGGACAGACACAGUCUCUAUAUUAAAGUGACAGUAGCUAGGAGGCUGCUCUAACAAAAGUACAGAGGAACGUGUAGAGCUGUGGCUAUGCUCCCUGAUUUCUAUGUCAAGCUGAGAGUAGCUUGGAAGCUGCUCUGAAGGGAGUACAGAGGGACGUUUUACACUGUGGCUCUGCUCCCUGAUUUCUAUGUCAAGCUGAGAGAAGCUUGGAAGCUGCUCUGAAGGGAGUACAGAGGGACGUUUUACACUGUGGCUCUGCUCCCUGAUUUCUAUGUCAAGCUGAGAGUAGCUUAGAAGCUGCUCUGAAGGGAGUACAGAGGGGCGUUUUACACUGCGGCUCUGCUCCCUGAUUUCUAAGUCAAGCUGAUUGUAGCUUGGAAGCUGCUCUGAAGGGAGUACAGAAGGGCGUUUUACACUGCGGCUCUGCUCCCUUGUCUCUGUGUAUAAGUGGUAGUGGCUGGGAGGCUGCUCUAAAAGAGGCGCAGGGGGGCGUGUAAGACUGCGGCCCUGCUCCCUGAUCUCUGCUUUGAAUUGUCAGUGGUUCGGAUUAAUAAAAUCGUCCAGAUUUCUGGAUAAACGGGCCGCUCCAUCUCGGGUGGGAUGAAUGCCGUCCCGACUAAUCAGACCAGGCUUGCCCCAAAAUGACUUCCAAUUAUCAAUGAAGCUCACGCCGUUUUGCGGACACCACCUCGACAGCCAGCGGUUGAAUGAUGAGAUACGGCUACACAUCUCAUCAGUUGUCUGAUCGGGCAGGGGACCAGAGAAAACUACGGAGUCCGACAUGGUCUUGGCAUAUUCACACACCGAUUCCACGUUCAAUUUAGUGACUUCCGACUGGCGGCGUCGGGAGUCAUUUAUGCCGACAUGUAUUACAAUCUUACGGAAUUUACGUUUAGCCUUUGCCAGCAGUUUUAAACUACCUUCGAUGUCGCCCGCUCUGGCCCCCGGGAGACACUGAACUAUGGCCGCUGACUUCGCUAAUUUCACAUUUCGGACUACAGAGUCUCCAAUCACAAGAGCGUCAGGCUCAGCAGGUGUGUUGCUGAGAGGGGCAAAUUUGUUUGAAGUGUGAAUGUGGUGGUCUACCGUGGGCUUCUUAGGUCUACUGCUAUGCUUCCCUUUCACAGUGACCCAACCACUACUACAUCCCGGCUGCUCGGGAUUCGCCGGGGGGGAGGCUAAGCUAGGCCGACCCGCACCGGCUACCGAGUCCUGGCUGGCUAUCGCUACACUAGCAUCGGUGCGGAGCCGCUUUUCUAACUCUGUAAUCCUCGUCUCCAGAGCUAAGAAUAAACUACACUUAAAGCAGGUAUCGUUAUCGUCUAAGGAGGACGAGGAGUAACUGAACAUCUGACACACUGAGCAGAAGCGAGCAGGAGAAGCAGGCGACCGGGGGGAAGCCAUCGUUAGCAAGUGUAGCUAAGAGAAGCUAAGCUAGGAGCUGAUAGAGUAAAUGGUCAGAGAGAUCGCCCGGAGUGGAGAUAAAAACAGUGCUUGGUGAAAACUAUCAGAAAUACUUACAGACUUUCUAAACAGACAGAUGUACUGAUAAAUUACAGAUAGAAAAUAAACCAAAACAGCAAGAGAGCGCUUUCAGGAGGAAACGAAACGCUACACACAGUUCAACAGCAAGGAAGGGAAUGAAGCAAUGCGCACGCUCACCAGUCAGGAGGAGGGAGGAGGAGUCAGCCCGUAGUGUGUAUGUGGUAUCUGGAGUACUGCACCACCAUACAAGGAUUUGAGGCAUUGCUCAGGAAUAGCCUGAGCUGACCAAUUGUGGAAUGAGGGCUUGUGUCUUUUUGUGUCUCUUUUAUGGUACCUGGAUCGAAUAUCCUGGAAGCUGCAGUUUUGCAGGUCACAGGACACAGGUCACAGUUCUAGGCUAAAUAAAAAAUCAGAUGGUAACAAAGAUACCUUGGGAGAUGUAGGAGGACCUACAUCUCUGACCCUGUAUAACAGGAGCCCAAAC